rnacentral:lncRNA from 1 species
AGAGAUGCAUUGGUAAAGGAUGUGACAUCUGUCUUCUGAAUUGUGGAAAAGCUCAGAGGAGAGAUACAGUGACUCCCAUCUCAACAUGGACCAAUGAGUCUGUUGCUUCUUAUUUUCUCAGUCACUGGAUAUGAAGACAUCAAGAAAGGGCUUUAGGAUUCAGAGAGAGAAUUCUUUCUUAAAGAAAAGAAUCAGACUUUGGAAGAAACAUUUUUAGUAAAUAAGAUGAAGAAAAACAUGUUCUGUGAAAUGAAAACCAGUAAAUAAGGGCUAUCAUGCACAUCAGGAGGCCUGCAUUGAUGGAGAUCAUUUGAAGAGCACACUGGAAUCAAAUAAAUAAAGACGACUGAAUCUCUGAAAGUAGUGCGUGAAUAAAUGUAAUCUAAAUAAGAAGAAUUCCUCCUCCUAUGCACAGAAGUAGAAACUCGGCAGGUGAAGAGUCAUUUAAACCCACCUUCAUCAAAUUGGGAGGUGGAAAAUUGAACUGUGAUCUGAAGAUCCAUGUUUUAGAAUGACAGCUGGUACUUAUAAGGAAGAAACGUGCAAUUUCAAAAUAGAGCUGCAAAAAUCCAAAGGGAUCCAUCUCAGGAAGAAGGCCUGACCAGCAGACACUUUCAAAAACUAAGUUUUUCAAGUCAUAAUAUGCAACAUUUAUAUUGGGAACUGAAGAGAGAAAUGACUACUAAGAACACUGAAAAUUCUUACUACAACCAGGAAGGCCUUUGUCCCAAGAGAAUGUGUUGAAGACAUUGGGGAGGACAACAUGAAACUGCAUUUCAUGCAUUUCACUGCAACAUUCAAAAGACAUCUCUCUUUCUCACCAAAUGGUAAAGCUCUUUCUAAGAAAUACCACAGCUUCUCCUUUACCAGGGGAUCUAAAUAUUUCAUCAGGGAAAGCAAUUCUCUAAUCAUGGACAAACAAUGUAGAUCCAUUCCUAUGGAUGUGCCUAAUGAUGGCACAAACUUUUAGAAACACAAUUCCUAUAGCAAAAAACCUGUGGAAGAUACUUUCUGGGUGUUUCCAAGUCCUCCUAAAUUCAGUGAGGCUGACUUCGGGGAAACUAAAACUAUUGGGUCAAAAUAAUCAAAACUGCCUUGAUAGAAAUUAA